UGGCCCUCUCGACUUCGAGGUGCCCGCGCUUUGUGCGGGAGAAUCGGGAAGGCGGUGCCAAUCCGCCGCGCGCCCAGCGCCGUGAAGGGGAUUGUCCGGGCAAGGUUCGCCCAGCCACUGGUCGUCAGGAUCGGGAAGGCGUCCGGACGAGAUGAUCCGCAGCCGGAAGACCGGCCUCGAAGUGUUUCCUGCA
rnacentral:ncRNA from 2 species